UUUUCCAGCCUUGUAAUGGACAGUGAAGUUAUAUGGUUGCAGAGCGAGGUACCAUCCAGCAAUCCGUGCAUUCGCAUCCUUCAUCCGAUGCAGCCACUGGAGGGCCCGGUGAUCCGUCUCCAGAAAGAAAUGUCGUCCCAGCAGGUACUCAGGCCCCCGGGGAAUCUUUUAGCCUGAACACCCUGCAGAGGAAGAGAGAGGACAUAAUCAGUUCCAGCUGAGAUGCCACCGAACCCACCAUUAAUAAACCAUUUCAAUCAGUUUGUAUCCGGUUCAUUUCCUUCAUCAUGCAUUUCUUUUAUCAUUUAACACAUUUUAAGUGUUGUACCACCAAGUAAUGAAGACCUUCA